GUAAUUCCAGCUCCAAUAGCGUAUAUUAAAAUUGUUGCAGUUAAAAAGCUCGUAGUUGAAUUUCUGCUGCAUUGCUUGUGUCCCUCCGGGGUCUGUGCAUGUGGCUUUUUUCGGACGGAGUUUCUUUGUCUGAAUGUUUACUUUGAGAAAAUUAGAGUGCUCAAAGCAGGCUUUUGCCUUGAAUAGUUUAGCAUGGAAUAAUAAAGUAGGACUUUGGUUCUAUUUUGUUGGUUUUAGGUACCAAAGUAAUGGUUAAUAGGAACAGUUGGGGGCAUUCGUAUUUAACUGUCAGAGGUGAAAUUCUUAGAUUUGUUAAAGACGAACUACUGCGAAAGCAUUUGCCAAGGAUGUUUUCAUUAAUCAAGAACGAAAGUUAGGGGAUCGAAGACGAUCAGAUACCGUCGUAGUCCUAACCAUAAACAAUGCCGACUAGAGAUUGGAGGUCGUCAGUUUUUACGACUCCUUCAGCACCUUGAGAGAAA
rnacentral:rRNA from 1 species